rnacentral:rRNA from 1 species
UCUGGUUGAUCCUGCCUGAACUGAUGUGUUUAUUUCAAAGAUUAAGCCAUGCAUGUAUAAGUUUAAUCGUUUAUCGAGAAACCGCGAACGGCUCAUUACAAUGGCCAUUAUUUACUUGAUCUUGAUUGUCUAAAUGGAUAACUGUGGAAAAGCUAGAGCUAAUACAUGCACUAAAGCUUUGUCCUUACGGAAAAGCGCAUUUAUUAGAACAAAACCACGCGGCUUCGGCUGCUUCUUGUUGACUCAGAAUAACUUAGCUGACCGCAUGGCCUUGUGCCGGCGGCGUGUCUUUCAAGCGUCCACUUUAUCAACUUGACGGGAGCAUAAUCGACUCCCGUGGUGGUGACGGAUAACGGAGGAUCAGGGUUCGACUCCGGAGAAGGGCCUGAGAAAUGGCCACUACGUCUAAGGAUGGCAGCAGGCGCGCAAAUUACCCACUCUCGGCUCCAGGAGGUAGUGACGAGAAAUAACGAGACUGUUCUCUUUGAGGCCGGUCAUCGGAAUGGGUACAAUUUAAACCCUUUAACGAGUAUCAAGCAGAGGGCAAGUCUGGUGCCAGCAGCCGCGGUAAUUCCAGCUCUGCAAAUACAUAGAAUUAUUGCUGCGGUUAGAAAGCUCAUAGUUGGAUUCGUAUCGAUACCUUGGAACCCUUCGGGUGUCUCUAGGUGUUAUCGAUUUAUCGUAAUGUUCGGUUUUGAGUCCUUAACAGGAUUCUUAACAGGCAUUGCAAGUUUACUUUGAACAAAUCAGAGUGCUUCAAACAGGCGUUUUCGCUUGAAUGAUCGUAACUGUUUACAGUAGGGUGGCGGAAGAGCGUACGCGGUGAGACCGAAAGAUGGUGAACUAUUCCUGAGCAGGAC